UGAUAGAGUUCUAGGUUUAGUAUGUAUAUUAUCUUGAUGACAUAUUAAACGUUUUCUUUCAACUUAGGUUCCUGCAAUCUCUAUGAUUCAUUUGCAAUCUAGUUUAUUGAACUAUCUCUCUUAUAACAAUAGCAAAUCUGUUUGGCACAGGCCAAAGAAUGAUCAUAUUUAUAUACUGUUAUCCAUAAAAAAAAUUAACUUUGUGGCAAUUACAUGAUGGAAGGACAUAAUACCAAGGAAAAACUUUGUCAGUUACCUCUACCUAUUAAAAUAUAAUGAUAGGUUUUUUCAAGUUUUGUAAUUACAAGUUUUGUAAAACUUGUGUGAAUAAUACAUGAUAUUUAUUUGUUUAAAAUAUAAUGAUGUAGGAAUCAAUUUUUUAUAUGUGAUUUUCUUUCUUGGUAAUCAAAAAGUUAACUUGCAUGUUUGAUUGUUUUGGAGAUUUUUUGUCUUAAUGAGUGAUUCACCUUUGUUUAGAACCCUCCCAAGCUGGCUACUCCUCUAUUUGAUACUAAAAUGGCAGAGGACCCUAAGAUGACAUACAUAGACCUAGAUAAUCUUCAAAUUGUGUUUUGAACGAAGAGUAGUGUUUGGUCUUGCAUUGUGAUGGCGUCUGAGUGUUGGCUUGGUCUCUGUUGGCUUGCUACAUAUCUAGAAAGCUCCAUGAUUUGUGCUAAGCUGAAGCGUAUCCAAUUUGGAUUUUCCAGCUCAAAAUAUAAGUAGAUUUGUUGUGGUAGUGCCUUAACAGGAUUUGAGACUUCUCCAUUCAGGAAAAGACAAGUCCGGUAGAUACAAAAAUUACAAGAUUACAAGUUUGGAUUGAAGGUCACAAGAAAAAAAAUGGGGAGCCUAGUACUCAAGCUGUUGGAGAGAAAAUAGUGGACCUAAUUCGACCAAAUGAUGAAAUGCAGUUUCUCGAUGAUGCAAUAGGAAG